GAUCAUGGCUCAGGACGAACGCUGGCGGCGUGCCUAAUACAUGCAAGUAGAACGCUGAAGGAGGAGCUUGCUUCUCUGGAUGAGUUGCGAACGGGUGAGUAACGCGUAGGUAACCUGCCUGGUAGCGGGGGAUAACUAUUGGAAACGAUAGCUAAUACCGCAUAAUAGCAGUUGUUGCAUGACAACUUGUUAGAAAGGUGACAAAUGCAUCACUACCAGAGUCGG
rnacentral:rRNA from 1 species